GACGAACGCUGGCGGCGUGCUUAACACAUGCAAGUCGAACGGAAAGGCCCUGCUUUUGUGGGGUGCUCGAGUGGCGAACGGGUGAGUAACACGUGAGUAACCUGCCCUUGACUUUGGGAUAACUUCAGGAAACUGGGGCUAAUACCGGAUAGGAGCUCCUGCUGCAUGGUGGGGGUUGGAAAGUUUCGGCGGUUGGGGAUGGACUCGCGGCUUAUCAGCUUGUUGGUGGGGUAGUGGCUUACCAAGGCUUUGACGGGUAGCCGGCCUGAGAGGGUGACCGGCCAAAUUGGGAUUGGGAUACGGCCCAGACCCCUACGGGGGGCAGCAGGGGGGAAUAUUGCACAAUGGGCGGAAGCCUGAUGCAGCAACGCCGGGGGGGGGAUGACGGCCUUCGGGUUGUAAACCGCUUUCGCCUGUGACGAAGCGGGGGUGCCGGUAAUGGGUAAAGAAGCACCGGCUAACUACGU
rnacentral:rRNA from 1 species